rnacentral:tRNA from 1 species
UGGCGCCGGUGCGGCCGGCCGAGUUCGUGCCGCUGCGGCUGGCCCCCGGCGCGGACGGCCCGCCGGCGUACGGGCCGCCGGGCGCCGCCC